CUGCUCCUAUAUGGAGUCGCCACACCAGAUCUUCUGUCUCCAUCUCACCUUGUCCACUGUAUCUUCUUGUGUUACACCAAACACCUGCAUUU